rnacentral:rRNA from 1 species
AGACCCGAAACCCGGUGAUCUAGCCAUGGGCAGGUUGAAGGUUGGGUAACACUAACUGGAGGACCGAACCGACUAAUGUUGAAAAAUUAGCGGAUGACCUGUGGCUGGGGGUGAAAGGCCAAUCAAACCGGGAGAUAGCUGGUUCUCCCCGAAAGCUAUUUAGGUAGCGCCUCGUGAAUUCAUCUCCGGGGGUAGAGCACUGUUUCGGCUAGGGGGCCAUCCCGGCUUACCAACCCGAUGCAAACUGCGAAUACCGGAGAAUGUUAUCACGGGAGACACACGGCGGGUGCUAACGUCCGUCGUGAAGAGGGAAACAACCCAGACCGCCAGCUAAGGUCCCAAAGUCAUGGUUAAGUGGGAAACGAUGUGGGAAGGCCCAGACAGCCAGGAUGUUGGCUUAGAAGCAGCCAUCAUUUAAAGAAAGCGUAAUAGCUCACUGGUCGAGUCGGCCUGCGCGGAAGAUGUAACGGGGCUAAACCAUGCACCGAAGCUGCGGCAGCGACGCUGAUGCGUUGUUGGGUAGGGGAGCGUUCUGUAAGCCUGCGAAGGUGGCCUGUGAGGGUUGCUGGAGGUAUCAGAAGUGCGAAUGCUGACAUAAGUAACGAUAAAGCGGGUGAAAAGCCCGCUCGCCGGAAGACCAAGGGUUCCUGUCCAACGUUAAUCGGGGCAGGGUGAGUCGACCCCUAAGGCGAGGCCGAAAGGCGUAGUCGAUGGGAAACGGGUUAAUAUUCCCGUACUUGGUGUUACUGCGAAGGGGGGACGGAGAAGGCUAUGUUGGCCGGGCGACGGUUGUCCCGGUUUAAGCGUGUAGGUGUGUGUUCCAGGUAAAUCCGGUUCACUUUAACACUGAGGCGUGAUGACGAGGCACUACGGUGCUGAAGCAACAAAUGCCCUGCUUCCAGGAAAAGCCUCUAAGCAUCAGGUAACAUCAAAUCGUACCCCAAACCGACACAGGUGGUCAGGUAGAGAAUACCAAGGCGCUUGAGAGAACUCGGGUGAAGGAACUAGGCAAAAUGGUGCCGUAACUU